AGUAACGCGUGGGUUACCAACCCCCAGGCCCGGGAUAGCGGUGGGAAACUGCCGGUAAUACCGGAUAAUGUCCCCGGACUAAAGGUGUGAUUCCGCCUGGGGACGGACCCGCGUCCUAUUAGCUUGUUGGUGGGGUAACGGCCUACCAAGGCGAAGAUGGGUAGCGGGCGUGAGAGCGUGGCCCGUCUCACUGGGACUGAGACACUGCCCAGACACCUACGGGUGGCUGCAGUCGAGAAUCUUCGGCAAUGGGCGCAAGCCUGACCGAGCGACGCCGCGUGCGGGAUGAAGGCCUUCGGGUUGUAAACCGCUGUCAGUGGGGUGGAAAUGCAUGGGGGUCCUCCCCUGUGUUUGACCUAACCGCAGAGGAAGUCCGGGCUAAGUUCGUGCCAGCAGCCGCGGUAAUUUGAACCGGACGAACGUUAUUCGGAAUCACUGGGCUUAAAGAGUGCGUAGGCGGCCUGGCAAGUUGGGUGUGAAAGCCCACGGCUCAACCGUGGAAUUGCGCUCAAAACUGCCAGGCUGGAGGGAGACAGGGGUGAGCGGAACUGAUGGUGGAGCGGUGAAAUGCGUUGAUAUCAUCAGGAACACCAGUGGCGAAGGCGGCUCACUGGGUCUCUUCUGACGCUGAGGCACGAAAGCUAGGGGAGCGAACGGGAUUAGAUACCCCGGUAGUCCUAGCUGUAAACGAUGAGCACUAGUUCGAGGGGACUUCCACAUCCUCUCGGACGUAGCGAAAGUGUUAAGUGCUCCGCCUGGGGAGUAUGGUC
rnacentral:rRNA from 1 species